UACGAAGGGGGCUAGCGUUGCUCGGAAUCACUGGGCGUAAAGCGCACGUAGGCGGCUUUCUAAGUCAGGGGUGAAAUCCUGGAGCUCAACUCCAGAACUGCCUUUGAUACUGGAGAGCUAGAGUCCGGAAGAGGUGAGUGGAACUGCGAGUGUAGAGGUGAAAUUCGUAGAUAUUCGCAAGAACACCAGUGGCGAAGGCGGCUCACUGGUCCGGUACUGACGCUGAGGUGCGAAAGCGUGGGGAGCAAACGGG
rnacentral:rRNA from 1 species